GUUCGCUCCUCGCCGCCCGCCUGCUCCGAGUAGAACGCUGUCCGCAGCUUGCGCAUUUCGCAGCCGCUGCCGCCUCGCCGCUGCUCCUUCGUAACGCCACUUCCAGUCACCGACACCAACAUGAACGGACAGCUCAACGGCUUCCACGAGGCGUUCAUCGAGGAGGGCACGUUCCUUUUCACCUCAGAGUCGGUCGGGGAAGGCCACCCAGAUAAGAUUUGUGAUCAGAUCAGUGAUGCUGUCCUUGAUGCCCACCUUCAGCAGGAUCCUGAUGCCAAAGUAGCUUGUGAAACUGUCGCUAAAACUGGAAUGAUCCUUCUUGCUGGGGAAAUUACAUCCAGAGCUGCUGUUGACUACCAGAAAGUGGUUCGUGAAGCUGUUAAACACAUUGGAUAUGAUGAUUCUUCCAAAGGUGUGUUUUAAUGAUUUUACUCAUUUUUUCUAGGUAACAGCUGUGAGGUUUGAAGAAACUCCUAGAAUGUUCCUGCUAAUCCUAAACUCCAGUUGUAUUUUCCUAUACACUAAGCCCUAUUCUGUUCAUUCUCUAAAAAGGUCUGAUGGUUUAGGUGUAUUUGAUUUCUUCAGCAGUGUUUAGAAUUCCAGAUAAUUGCUGUAAACAGCAGGUAUUUCUAGGACCUAAACAAGAUGUUGUGUUUUUUGCUUAUAGGUUUUGACUACAAGACUUGUAAUG
rnacentral:sRNA from 1 species